rnacentral:lncRNA from 1 species
AUGUCUAUAACCAGCCACGUGUUGGUGCUGCAUGAGCAGAUUGCAGAGUUUGUCGUCUCCUCCCGAAUGCAUGCGCUGGAGUUGAAGCUGCCGUGGCCAUGGGAGUGUUGUUCAUGUCAGAUCGACUGCUGUGGAUGGCUUCCCUUCUUCCAGGUAACAAGCUUCAAAACCCAGGCCAAGGUUUCAGAUUUGGCAAGAGCAAAUAGCUGUUUGGGUGCUCACAAUGAGGAUGGGGAGAGAGGAAAGAAGAAAAGGAGGGAUGCAAGUUGAAUAUUUGCCCGCAAGGGAAGCCAGCACUGGUCAUUUAAAUCAUCUAAUUUUCGGAAGUGUGAUGCUUUUUUUUUUUUUUCCAUAAAGGCCAAUCAAGUUCUUUGAGAUGUUUAUAAGUCUUUCUACUCUCCUCCCACCCCCCACACACCUCCUUUCCUAUUUUGUACUCUGUCUGCUUGCAGAAAUGGUGGUAUGGAUGUAAAAGCUCCAUGAUUCUUCCUUUUCACUGUUUUUCCAAACCUGGGGACACCAAGAAAUACCCUGGAAUAGGAGGAGAAAGAAUGGGAGACCAACAAGCAAGAAAACAGCAAAAGUUCAAAAGAAGAACUGUAAGGAAGGGGAAGAGUUGGGACAAAAAAAUGUUGGACGAUGAUAAAGACUGAUAGGUUAUGGAUGGUUCUUGAAGUUCAGAAAAAACUGAGGUUGUGAGGAGAGCAACAAAGAAAUGUAUUUGUUUGGCCUGGCCACACCUGUUUAACUGUGAGAAAAGAUUUCUGCCUCCCUGUGUAAACAGGGCAAAGAGAUCCUAUAACAGUUGUGUUGCUCACCAAUCCCAUGCUGCUCUCUCCUGCUGUUGUCCCCAGGUUUGAUCCAGUUAUAUCUCCUUUCUGCAGGUGCAGUUGGACCUUGCCUGAGAUCUGUAACUUACCCCCUUAAAUUUGCUGGUAUUUCUUUACGUAUCUGCUGAUAUCAAGGUUCACUGCUUGGGUCUGAUGCAAAGCAAAACCCCAAUGUACUGCUAUCCUUUGUACUGCUUCUAAAGAAAACAAAAAAUUUCUUGUUACUGACUUUCGAUGUUACCUUUAUUGUAUUGUAUGUCCUCAGAUUCUUUAAUUUCUUAUUCUAUUUAAAAACUGGCAUUCCCUAAUGUUAAGCCCUAUGUACAGAGGUUUAAACCUUGAAGAAUUACAAGCAUUUAUGACUUGCUUAUACUAUUCAAGAUAUUAAUUAUUCUUUCAAUAGUUUCACGACUCCUAGAAUAAUGUGAAUAUAUGUACAGCUCAGCUUUGGCACCUGCAGAAAGAACAAAAGUGGUGGAGAAAAGCAGAAUGCAUGCCUCGUAGAUUCUGACAUGAGGAAUAGGAAAUCUCCUGUAUGAUAAAUGUCACAGCAAAGUGUGACAGAGGAACGUAGAUACAAUAAGUAACAGCUUCCUGCAAACAGUUGGAGAGCUGAGAAUAACUGGUUUUGAUGUAUUUAUGAGCAGUGCAUAAGGUCUGGCUCUAAAUGUUGCCCUUGAACAGCUAUGUUUAAUAGCCAUUAGAGCAUACUCAAAUUAUAUAUAUAUAUAUAUAUAUAUAUAUAUUCUCCUAGGAGAAACACAGUAGCGUUUAACUGCAUGAAAAUACAUUUAACUAAAAUGAGGAAGUUUCUUAAAAGGAGAAAGGAAGAGCCUUAAAAGGAAAGGAAGAGCCAAAAGAGUAGAAUACUUACAGGAGGUGUGGAUAUUUUUUAAAGAGGUUCAAUGUAGCUUGUAACUGUCUAUCAACAAAUAAAACAAACAACUUUGAAAGGAAAGUCA